rnacentral:misc_RNA from 1 species
AUGCUACUUAGUGUCAUCUUAAUAGAGAGUGUUGACUAACUUUUAUUCCGCAUGAAAAUGUUGCCAUAAUGAACCUCUUGUGGGUAGAGACAGUUUGAUACAAUUGGUGAAAGCAGUGCUAUCUUAAAUGAUCAUACAGAGUCCUCCAUGCAAUAAUGAAAAUGGUAUAAAAAUCAUGUAAGGGUUUUUAAAUGGAGAAUUGUAACCUGUAUUAAUAUUUGCUGAAAUGAAAUCAUCUUAAAUAGUGGAGAAUUGUUGUUUACUUUUCACUCAAGAAAUGUCACUUUAAAAGUAACUCUUCUUUGAGAAUUAUGUAUUCUCAACAAAAUACCAGUGCGUAAUUUUGAAAAAGAUUAAUGUAUUAUAUUGAUCAUGCAGUCAUUGACAUUUUUUAUGAAAAAAUUACAUGAGUUAUUUUUUUUAUCCAGGUUGAUCAAGUCACAAAGUCGCAUAUUUAAUAACAAGACAGCAAUUAUAGCUGAUAAUUGUUUUUCAUUCAAUUUGUAAUUUAACAACAAAAAAUAAAUGAAUGAAUGAAAAAAAGUUUCAUUUUGAGUAUCAUUGUUGAAUAUUGAAUUUUAUUUAAGAAAUGUGUUAUAUGUUAAUAUUUAUACACUAAACAAAUAUUACGGUAUAUAUAAUUGUAAAUUAAGCAGUGUUAUUUCAUACAUACCAAAGAUUUGACCUUUUUCUUCUUGAGAUUAAUGACAAGAUUAAUGACAUUAUGAGAAAGGAUUAAAGUAAUGAACAUUUUUGUGACUGUUAUUUGUUUAUUUUUUCCAACACAUAUUAUUUAGAGAUCAUACAAUUAAGGUACAUGUGUGUCUCCCACUGGUGUUAUGAAUUGGACCCAGGUUCAAUACCUUGCACCCUGUAAUUAAGUGUGUACAUAUACACCUACAUGUAAAUAAGGCCACAUUUGUUUGUUUGCUUUCUCCUAAAUCAGUGUUUUACGGGGGAUGUUUGAGAAUAAAAAGGUAAACCUU